rnacentral:lncRNA from 1 species
AAUUUUAUUCAUUCCUAUAAGUUUCCAUGUUACAUUUUGAAUCACCAAGACCCUUCAAUUUUAACUUGAACAACCUGAAGAAAAAGACAUCAUGCGGACCAUAAAUAGAUUAAUAUCAGCAAACAGCACACACCGUGUCAAUAUAUAUUUCCCAAUGCUUGAACAAUAAGUAUAAUAUGAAUAAUUAAAAUAAACAGUUUCCAAUAAUAAUUUAUUAAGAACAAUUUUGAGAAAUUGACUAAGUAAUUCACCAAUCAUCGCUGACGUGUAAAUUUUUGAGAAACAGUAGGGUGCAUAAAUUUAAUAAAUCUGUGCCAAAAUAAAGAACCACCAAAAGCUACUUUAUAUCUAAACAAAUUUUUUUCCCCAACUAUAACUUUUUCACUUCUACACGUCCAUUCCAAUAACAUGUUUAUUAAAACUAUAGUUUUAUCGUAGGGUGUAAAUAAUUAGCAGUGUUACCACAGAAUGUGGCAGUAAUUACUUUGGAAUUUAUCUUUUUAAGUAGAUUAUUUCUCCUUUUCCAUAAAUUCAAACAUAAGAAUAAGCAUACACUUGAAAUUUUUGACUUACUGCAUGUCAAGAAAUCUCUGAUGAUAAAAUGUAACGUGAUCAUUAAUUAUACUGUUGAUCAGCACACUCACCUCCCAUCAGAACUUCCAGUACCCAAAAGAAACUGAGGAUUUGAAACAUCAGAGUCAAACAAUGCCCAAUUAAUUGCUGUGAUCCAAGUAUCAUGUGCCUGAAGAAACCCGAUCAGUGUUGCAGUAAUAGAGUCUCCAUUCUUACUAAGAGAAUAGCUCUGUGGACCAUGGAUUCUCCAAAAUGAUAUUCUACCACAUUUCGCUCCAACAGCAAGUACAGAGCACCAACUUGAUGAAUUCAUCUGCAGAAUGGGUGACCAUGCGACAAUCAGCGAUGCCAGCAUUGCACUGCGAGAAGCAUACUGCUGUGCAGUUAUUGAAGGGACGCUGCAAUCUUUGGUUGCUUCCUCCAGAGGCUUUGUUUUAGAAACAGACAGAGGAACAAUUUGGUAAGUCCUUUUUUCUUUUAGAUUGUUAGGCUCGUUUGAAGCAACCUGAAUUUAAAAUAAAAUAAAAUAA